rnacentral:rRNA from 1 species
GACGAACGCUGGCGGCGUGCUUAACACAUGCAAGUCGAACGAAGAGCGAUGGAAGCUUGCUUCUAUCAAUCUUAGUGGCGAACGGGUGAGUAACGCGUAAUCAACCUGCCCUUCAGAGGGGGACAACAGUUGGAAACGACUGCUAAUACCGCAUACGAUCUAACCUCGGCAUCGAGGAUAGAUGAAAGGUGGCCUCUACAUGUAAGCUAUCACUGAAGGAGGGGAUUGCGUCUGAUUAGCUAGUUGGAGGGGUAACGGCCCACCAAGGCGAUGAUCAGUAGCCGGUCUUAAGGGAUGAACGGCCACAUUGGGACUGAGACACGGCCCAGACUCCUACGGGAGGCAGCAGUGGGGAAUCUUCCGCAAUGGACGAAAGGCUGACGGAGCAACGCCGCGUGAGUGAUGACGGCCUUCGGGUUGUAAAGCUCUGUUAAUCGGGACGAAAGGCCUUCUUGCGAAUAGUGAGAAGGAUUGACGGUACCGGAAGAGAAAGCCACGGCUAACUACGUG